rnacentral:lncRNA from 1 species
CGUCACAGAAGAAACUUCAACUAUUUUGAAUAUGACAUCUAUCGGGGGGUGAAGAACAUUAUCUUAACAGCAUUAACAGACUUCAGCAGUGAAGAAAUAGCCACCUGAGGCCUGGAAAGGAUAUGAAAGAAGCUAUAGAACCAAAUUAUGUUGGCAACAUUGAGCUAAGGAGGAAACAAGAAAAAUAUCAGUUAGUGAAAAAUGCUGUAAGGAAAAUUAAAAUAAGAGGAGCAAGACAUCAAAUAAUUCCAAGAGCAAACACAACGCAUAUGUGGUACAAAUAUUGAACCAUGAGUUUCAGGUCUUGAUGAAGUAUGGGUCAGGAAAUGCUUGGCUGGAGUAGAAAGUGUGGCCAUUGCUCACUGCCUGUCUGUGUAGCUCGCAGAUCCAGGAACUGAAUCAAAGUGAAGGGGAACCAUGAAAAUGCAUCUUGGUACUAAGCAUCUUGCUAUAUUGAACUGAAAAAUAAGCUAAGGGAUUAAUUUAGUUCACCAGAGUGUUGGCUCAAGUUUAACAGAGACACGAGAAGAAAGUUGACAAUAUAAAUGUAACAUCAUCUGGAUCACCCUACUAAUACAGGGUAAGGACAGUUUAUCUGCUGGGGUAACCUUAAUCUUAAAUAGCUG